UACAGAGGAGCCAAGCGUUGUCCGGAUUGACUGGGCGUAAAGCGCACGCAGGCGGACGCGCGCGUGGGGUGUGAAAUCUGGCCGCUUAACGGCCAGGCGCCAUCCCAUACGGCGCGACUGGAGUGAUGCAGAGGUCGGUGGAAUUGCCGGUGUAGUGGUGAAAUGCGUAGAGAUCGGCAGGAACACCCAGGGGGAGACCAGCCGACUGGGCAUCUACUGACGCUGAGGUGCGAGAGCGUGGGGAGCGAACCGG
rnacentral:rRNA from 1 species